rnacentral:tRNA from 1 species
GCCGGUGUAGCUCAGCAGGUAGAGCGGCGGUUUCGUAAACCGUAGGUCGGAGGUUCGAAUCCUCUCGCCGGCUCCA